UACGGAGGGUGCAAGCGUUAUCCGGAUUCACUGGGUUUAAAGGGUGCGUAGGCGGGUAUAUAAGUCAGUGGUGAAAGCUCCGGGCUUAACUUGGGAACUGCCAUUGAUACUGUAUAUCUUGAAUGUCGUUGAGGUAAGCGGAAUGUUGCAUGUAGCGGUGAAAUGCUUAGAUAUGUUACAGAACACCAAUUGUGAAGACAGCUUACUAAGCGAUAAUUGACGCUGAGGCACGAAAGCGUGGGGAGCAAACAGG
rnacentral:rRNA from 1 species